UGUAAGGAACGUUAAAGACGAUGACGUUGAUAGGCCGGGUGUGUAAGCGCAGCGAUGCGUUGAGCUAACCGGUACUAAUGAACCGUGAGGCUUAACCUUACAACGCCGAAG
rnacentral:rRNA from 1 species